rnacentral:rRNA from 1 species
GACAGAGGGUGCAAACGUUGUUCGGAUUUACUGGGCGUAAAGCGCGUGUAGGCGGCUUGGCAAGUCGGAUGUGAAAGCCCACGGCUCAACCGUGGAAGCGCAUCCGAAACUGCUUCGCUCGAGUCUCGGAGAGGAAGGUGGAAUGCUUGGUGUAGAGGUGAAAUGCGUAGAUAUCAGGAAGAACACCGGUGGCGAAGGCGGCCCUCUGGACGGAUACUGACGCUGAGACGCGAAAGCGUGGGGAGCAAACAGG